GGAGGAGGCAAGCGUUGUCCGGAAUUAUUGGGGCGUAAAGAGCGCGUAGGUGGCUUUCCAAGUCAUAUGUGAAAACCUCAGGGCUUAACUCGAGGGACUGCAUGUGAAACUGGAAAACUUGAGUGCAGUAGAGGAAAGUGGAAUUCCUGGUGUAGCGGUGAAAUGCGCAGAUAUCAGGAAGAACACCAGUGGCGAAGGCGGCUUUCUGGGCUGCUACUGACACUGAGGCGCGAAAGCUAGGGGAGCGAACAGGAUUAGAUACCCUGGUAGUCCUAGCUGUAAACGAUGGACACUAGGUGUGGGAAGUUAUCGACGCUUUCCGUGCCGAAGCUAACGCAUUAAGUGUCCCGCCUGGGGAGUACGGCCGCAAGGCUA
rnacentral:rRNA from 1 species